GAAAAGAGGAAACGGAAUGGCAAUGAUUAUGAACUACAAGCUAAAACAAUGCAAGGGAUUGAUAAAAGGAAACCAAAGGAUUAAUAGACUAUCAACUGCCAGUCCAGCUAAAGAAAUGCAGAAAGCAUUCCAAAAAUCCUGUUAGGAACAAUGCUGCCUGCUCUCCCAGACACAUCCCCGUGGCACUAUAGGCCAAUUGCUAAAUGCAGAUGGUAAAAUCAUAAACAGUGGUGCAAAAAAAGGCAGAAAUGUUCAAUAGCUAUUUCUCCUCUGCUUUUGGAAGGGAGCAGGAUAUUCUUCCCAUAUGAUGUUGCGGAUGGAGUAGAGCAUUUACCAUCUGGAACAAAGGAGGAUGUGAGGCAGCAUCUGCUAAAAUUAAAUGUUUUUCACAUCAUCCGGCCUGGCUAUCUUUGUGUCUUAAAGGAACCAGCUAAAGCACUUAGUGAAGUUUUAUAUUUACAAAUCUGGGGAGAUUCCAAGGACAUGGGAGAGCGCCAUGGCUGAUCUGGGACUUCACAAGCCUCAGUGGGACACUCUGGGGAGCAAUCGGCUGCUUAGCAGGACAGCAUCCUUCGACAGACUCACCAGACAUUAAUUCAGGCCUCCAACAACAAGGAAUUAGAGGCUAAAAAUAAAAGCAGCACUAAUCAGCUGGGUUUCGUGGAAGGUUUUGAAAUGUGUGGCUUAUUGUGGAUGGCCAGAUGGAUGUGAGAGUAAAGGAAACUGUCUACUCAACAUUUUCACAGAGAAAACUGCCAAGCUAGAAAGUGAAGUCCAUGAAAGUCCAGGAGGGAAAAAGAACAGGAAUGGUCAAAAACAAAGUCCUGCGGCUAUUGGAACAUCAUCAGUUCUGGCUUCUGGAGGCCCGGUGCACCACAUUACAACCACGGAAGAAUGUGUUUUUAAAGUAAUUAUUUAAAUAGUGUUAAUUAGCUCUAUAAAAAUGAAAAAGAAUUUUUUUUUUCAUUGGGGAUCAUAAUAGGAUUUAUUUCUAUGAGAAAAAAUAAGGCUUUUUCAUAUUUCUUCAGCUUAUUAAAUUACCU
ensembl:lncRNA